rnacentral:rRNA from 1 species
UGACGGGGACCCGCACAAGCGGUGGAUGAUGUGGAUUAAUUCGAUGCAACGCGAAAAACCUUACCUACCCUUGACAUGUACGGAAGCCACGAGAGAUCGAGGUGUGCUCGAAAGAGAGCCGUAACACAGGUGCUGCAUGGCUGUCGUCAGCUCGUGUCGUGAGAUGUUGGGUUAAGUCCCGCAACGAGCGCAACCCUUGUCAUUAGUUGCUACGAAAGAGCACUCUAAUGAGACUGCCGGUGACAAACCGGAGGAAGGUGGGGAUGACGUCAAGUCCUCAUGGCCCUUAUGGGUAGGGCUUCACACGUCAUACAAUGGUACAUACAGAGGGCCGCCAACCCGCGAGGGGGAGCUAAUCCCAGAAAGUGUAUCGUAGUCCGGAUUGUAGUCUGCAACUCGACUACAUGAAGUUGGAAUCGCUAGUAAUCGCGGAUCAGCAUGUCGCGGUGAAUACGUUCCCGGGUCUUGUACACAC